rnacentral:rRNA from 1 species
AUUGAACGCUGGCGGCAGGCCUAACACAUGCAAGUCGAGCGGAUGAAGGGAGCUUGCUCCUGGAUUCAGCGGCGGACGGGUGAGUAAUGCCUAGGAAUCUGCCUGGUAGUGGGGGAUAACGUCCGGAAACGGGCGCUAAUACCGCAUACGUCCUGAGGGAGAAAGUGGGGGAUCUUCGGACCUCACGCUAUCAGAUGAGCCUAGGUCGGAUUAGCUAGUUGGUGGGGUAAAGGCCUACCAAGGCGACGAUCCGUAACUGGUCUGAGAGGAUGAUCAGUCACACUAGAACUGAGACACGGUCCAGACUCCUACGGGAGGCAGCAGUGGGGAAUAUUGGACAAUGGGCGAAAGCCUGAUCCAGCCAUGCCGCGUGUGUGAAGAAGGGCUUCGGAUUGUAAAGCACUUUAAGUUGGGAGGAAGGGCAGUAAGUUAAUACCUUGCUGUUUUGACGUUACCAACAGAAUAAGCACCGGCUAACUUCGUG